UACGUAUGUCACAAGCGUUAUCCGGAUUUAUUGGGCGUAAAGCGCGUCUAGGUGGUUAUGUAAGUCUGAUGUGAAAAUGCAGGGCUCAACUCUGUAUUGCGUUGGAAACUGUGUAACUAGAGUACUGGAGAGGUAAGCGGAACUACAAGUGUAGAGGUGAAAUUCGUAGAUAUUUGUAGGAAUGCCGAUGGGGAAGCCAGCUUACUGGACAGAUACUGACGCUGAAGCGCGAAAGCGUGGGUAGCAAACA
rnacentral:rRNA from 1 species